rnacentral:snRNA from 11 species
ACGGCAAUAGAGCACGCAGGCGAGGGGCACCUUGUGGCCCCGGGGCGCGAGGGAGGUGGCCUUGAUCACGUCGAUGGGCA